UACGUAGGUGGCAAGCGUUUGUCCGGAAUUAUUGGGCGUAAAGCGCGCGCAGGCGGUCCUUUAAGUCUGAUGUGAAAGCCCACGGCUCAACCGUGGAGGGUCAUUGGAAACUGGGGGACUUGAGUGCAGAAGAGGAAAGCGGAAUUCCACGUGUAGCGGUGAAAUGCGUAGAGAUGUGGAGGAACACCAGUGGCGAAGGCGGCUUUCUGGUCUGUAACUGACACUGAGGCGCGAAAGCGUGGGGAGCAAACAGG
rnacentral:rRNA from 1 species